UACGUAGGGCGCGAGCGUCGUCCGGAAUUAUUGGGCGUAAAGAGCUCGUAGGCGGUUUGUCGCGUCGGUUGUGAAAACCCAAGGCUCAACCUUGGGCCUGCAAUCGAUACGGGCAGACUAGAGUACUGCAGGGGAGACUGGAAUUCCUGGUGUAGCGGUGGAAUGCGCAGAUAUCAGGAGGAACACCGGUGGCGAAGGCGGGUCUCUGGGCAGUAACUGACGCUGAGGAGCGAAAGCGUGGGGAGCGAACAGG
rnacentral:rRNA from 1 species